rnacentral:misc_RNA from 1 species
CCGAGUUUACAACUCCCAAACCCCUGUGAACAUACCUAUACGUUGCCUCGGCGGAUCAGCCCGCGCCCCGUAAAAAGGGACGGCCCGCCCGAGGACCCCUAAACUCUGUUUUUAGUGGAACUUCUGAGUAAAACAAACAAAUAAAUUA